UACGGAGGAUGCGAGCGUUAUCCGGAUUUAUUGGGUUUAAAGGGUGCGCAGGCGGCACGGCAAGCCGGCGGUCAAAUCGCGGGGCUCAACCCCGCCCAGCCGUCGGAACUGCCGGGCUAGAGUGGGCGAGAAGUGCGCGGAAUGCGUGGUGUAGCGGUGGAAUGCAUAGAUAUCACGCAGAACUCCGAUUGCGAAGGCAGCGCACCGGCGCCCUACUGACGCUCAGGCACGAAAGCGUGGGUAUCGAACAGG
rnacentral:rRNA from 1 species